AUGGAAAAGCAACAAGAAAAACAAGACACAGUUGAUUUAAGAGAAGCAAAGAUAAUGGAAAGUGCAGACGAGUGCUCCUUUGUUCGUGUUGGUGGCCUCAGUUCUUCGGUGUCAGAGGAUGACUUAAGAUCACAUUUCUGGGAAUACCAGAUUUUUGACAUUCUUAUCUGUGUGGAUUCUGGUAACCACAGAUGUGCAUUUCUUGGCUUUAAAGAUGCUAAUGAAGCAAAGUUAGCAGUAGAGAAAAUGAGCAAGAAACAAAUAAAAGGAAAAACAAUAAGUGUUGAGCUUGUAAAUGAUUCAUCAGAGAACAAAUAUUCUGUUUCCCAAAUACUUAAAAAGAAGCUGUGGCAUGAAAUCCACUCUGUCAACAACAGUCAGAGAAAUGAUGAAGAUAAAACACUCACUUCAGCCUCCAAUUCAGUGGAAGCUCCUGGUACCACCUCUGCUUCUGAGAAGGCACCCCUCCUUCCCACUGCUGCUUUAACAGUUCCUUGCUCUACCCAAGUACCUUCGGAAACAAAGUGUCCUGGUCCAAAAUCUUCUGUUGAGGAGUUGGUACGUUUUCUGUUUGCAGUUAAUUGAAAGCUCAAUAAUGAUUAUUGGGCUCCUUUAUGUGGCAGACUAGAGCCUAACACUUACAGCUCUGUAACAUGUUACCUUAGUAUGUAUUGAGUGACAUUAGGAUAUGAAAGCACGUUACGUCUCAGUAACAAAUUUCUGUCAUGCUGGAGAAGAGGGAGAGCACCGUUCACUUGUUCCUGCAUCAAGUUGUGAUGGUCCCUCUUUUCCUUAAUCCUAAACCAGGAACCUAGGCAUUUGCAUGGGGUUUUUUAUCUUGCUUUUCUCCUCUUUGAGUUCUCACUUGAAAUGCUUUCUGUUUGAAUGCCUUCAGAUUUUAUACAGAAAAGGUUUUUGGAAGAAGCUGUUGGAUUUUUAAAUGUAAAUCUAAAGAAGUGUCAUGUGUAAAUUUUCUUUUAAUUCAUUCAGGUUGGUCGGUCCUUGGAGGAUGAGGCAAAAUUAGUGAUUGGUGUUGCUCUGACAAACUGUGUAGAUGGGCUGUGUUUGGGGAUUGAACUUCAGAAGUUGUAGUCUUUGGGAAAUAAAAGCUGGACCUAACAUAAUGCAGCAGGAAUGCCAGUUACCAUAAAUACGUGGUGCAGUUUUAUUUCUAAGCUACAGGUCUGAUAACGUGACUGCACGUGUUAAAACACUUACUGAUCUGAGUCUGUAUUUCUUCAUUUUUUCUUUUUCCAUAACAGAAAUAUUUCUUAGUAGUAAAGAUCAGCCAUAAAAUUUUUACAAUACAUAACCUCUUCACUUUUUGCUGAUUUUGAUGCAAUUCUAGGACACCGGAGACAAUUCCCUGCAAAAAGCAUCUGCUCCUUUCUCCACUAAUUCAUUUGGUGCCUUUAUUUCUCCUAAUACCUUGAAUUUGAGCAGCUUUACCAAAUUAAUGAAGAAACUUCAAGAAAUCCAUCCAGAGGCGAGUAGGUGAGAGUAUUUGUAUUUCAGUUCUACCCUGGUUUGUAAUGAAUCCAACAUCUGCAAUAACUAAUUAGAGUGCUAAGUGGAUUGCACAAAACGGGACGUAAUCAGUCAUUUCUGUUAUUCCUACAGAGACAAAAUUGUGGAUGCUCUGUUGGAGGUGAGGAAGAACAAUAAAGGUAUCCUAAGUGGCUUGUCCAUCAAUUCUAUUAUGGAAAGGACCUCUGUAAUCCUAAGGAAGUCAGCGCCCAGCUGUAGCGGGGGGGAAAGCAAUGUAAAUAA
rnacentral:lncRNA from 1 species